CCGAGCUUACAACUCCCAAAACCCCUGUGAACAUACCACUUGUUGCCUCGGCGGAUCAGCCCGCUCCCGGUAAAAACGGGACGGCCCGCCAGAGGACCCCUAAACUCUGUUUUCUAUAUGUAACUUCUGAGUAAAAACCAUAAAUAAAUCA
rnacentral:misc_RNA from 1 species